rnacentral:tRNA from 1 species
GCAUUGGUGGUUCAGCGAUAGAGUUCUCACCUUCCAUGUGAGAGACCCAGGUUAGAUUCCCAGCCAAUACA